UGGAAAUUUUAAUAUUUUAACCGAACAUGUAACGCUUGGAACUUUAACUUUGCGUGCCGGUCUGCUCCUGGGUGACGGAGAUGGAAUCUUCUGCAACUGAGUUCAUUUCAUGAACCGUAAGACCCGAUUAAAUUCCAGCUGGCAACAUUCCAACGGAAACAUUCGUUUCCCUCUUCCAUUUUCUUUUGACUCUCACUGUCUCCGACCUAGUUAGUGUUCAAUGUUCCAGAAACAAAAAUCGAAGAAACAGAAUCUCUGCGGGGAAAGUAAAAGGAACUUCCAGAGAAAGCAAGAAACGGCGUAGUUUUUAGAGAAAGAAGGAGAUGACGGUGAUAGACUUGAUCACGAGGGUCGACGCGAUUUGCAAGAAAUACGAAAAGUACGACAUCGAUAAGCAAAAAGAGGCUAACGUCACCGGCGAUGACGCUUUCGCUCACCUUUAUGGCGUCGUUGAGUCUGAACUCGAUGCUGUUCUCCAGAAAUCGGAAGCUGCUGCUACGGAAAAGAACAGGGCUACGGCGGUUGCAAUGAAUGCGGAAAUUCGGAGAACAAAAGCUCGAUUGCUUGAAGAACUCCCCAAAUUACAACGACUCGCUCUCAAAAAGGUAAAGGGGCUUUCAAGAGAAGAGCUUGAGGCUCGAAACGAUUUGGUUUCUUCACUGAAAGAUAGGAUUGAAGCAAUACCAGAUGGAUCAACAACUGCAGCUAAGCAAAGAACUGGUGGUUGGGCGACUUCAACUUCUUAUCCUGCAAUUAAAAUUGACUCAUCUUCAGAUGGUGGUUUUGAAAGUGAGUACUUUCAACAAACUGAAGAGUCUGACCGCUUCAGGCAAGAGUAUGAAAUGCGCAGAAUGAAACAGGAUCAAGGUUUGGAGGUUAUAGCUGAAGGUUUGGAUACCUUGAAAAACAUGGCUCAUGAUAUGAAUGAGGAAUUUGACAGACAAGUGCCAAUGAUGGAUGAAAUAGAUGAGAAGGUGAUCCUACGCAAGUAGAGUUAUCUGCCUCUGGUUAUCCUUCUUUACUAGUGAUGGACAUGGACAAUUUAUCUGAUAGUUAGCUGAUGGUAUUCUGGAAAAUUAAAGUUAUAUCUGAUGCCUUUUAAUUGCUAACUCUAUAAUCUUAGAGAGAGAGAGCAGGGACCAAUAAAGUCAGGUAAUGAUAUCUUUUUUAUUUUUUAUGCUGCCGGUGAUUGAACCUUAUUAGUGGAAGUAAGAGUUUAACACUCUACUUGCGUACUACACUUGGAAUGUCAAGCAGUGAUAUCACUUGCUAGUAGCCUGGCAAUUUACAUAUGAAAAACACUUUCUGGCAGUAGAUAGGGCAGCC